rnacentral:rRNA from 1 species
CCUACGGGAGGCAGCAGUGAGGAAUCUUGGUCAAUGGACGAGAGUCUGAACCAGCCAAGUAGCGUGAAGGAUGACUGCCCUAUGGGUUGUAAACUUCUUUUAUAUGGAAAUAAAAUGUUCCACGUGUGGGCUUUUGUAUGUACCAUAUGAAUAAGGAUCGGCUAACUCCGUGCCAGCAGCCGCGGUAAUACGGAGGAUCCGAGCGUUAUCCGGAUUUAUUGGGUUUAAAGGGAGCGUAGGUGGGUUGUUAAGUCAGGUGUGAAAGUUUGCGGCUCAACCGGAAAAUUUCAGUUGAAACUGGGAGUCUUGAGUACAGUAGAGGUGGGCGGAAUUCGGGGUGUAGCGGUGAAAUGCUUAGAUAUCACGAAGAACUCCGAUGGCGAAGGCAGCUCACUGGACUGCAACUGACACUGAGGCUCGAAAGUGUGGGUAUCAAACAGGAUUAGAUACCCUUGUAGUC